rnacentral:tRNA from 1 species
ACGAUAGUAACUUAAUAGGUAAAGUUUAAUCUUGCCAAGAUUAAAAUUACGGGUUCAAAUCUCGUUUAUCGUU